AGGGUUCGAUCAUGGCUCAGGAUGAACGCUAGCGGCAGGCCUAAUACAUGCAAGUCGAACGGUAACAUUGGUGCUUGCACCAGAUGACGAGUGGCGCACGGGUGCGUAACGCGUAUGCAACCUACCUUUUACUAGAGUAUAGCCCAGAGAAAUUUGGAUUAAUCCUCUAUAACAUCUUUUAAUUUCAUGAUUUUAAGAUUAAAGUUUUAACGGUAAAAGAUGGGCAUGCGUCCUAUUAGUUUGUAGGUGAGGUAACGGCUCACCUAGACUACGAUAGGUAGGGGCCCUGAGAGGGGGAUCCCCCACACUGGUACUGAGACACGGACCAGACUCCUACGGGAGGCAGCAGUAAGGAAUAUUGGACAAUGGACGAAAGUCUGAUCCAGCCAUGCCGCGUGCAGGAUGACAGCCCUACGGGUUGUAAACUGCUUUUAUACAGGAAGAAACACUCCGACGUGUCGGAGCUUGACGGUACUGUAAGAAUAAGGAUCGGCUAACUCCGUGCCAGCAGCCGCGGUAAUACA
rnacentral:rRNA from 1 species